rnacentral:rRNA from 1 species
AAUUCCCGGGUUAAGCGGGGAAAGGGGUAAAUUUUGGGGAGGAACACCUUGGGGGGAAAGCGGCGCACUUGACCACCAAUUACGUUGAAGGCGCGAAAGUUAGGGGGGGCAACCAGGAUUAGAUACCCCUGGUAUUCCUAGCCCUUAAACUAUGGAUGCUUGGUGUGUCGGGUACCCAAUCCCCACGUUGCGGCAGCUAACGCGUUAAGCAUCCCGCCUGGGGAGUACGUUCGCAAGGCUGAAAACUCAAAGGAAUUGACGGGGGGCCCGCACAAGCGGUGGAGCAUGUGGUUCAAUUCGACGCAACGCGAAGAACCUUACCUGGGCUCGAAGCGCAGUGGACCGGGGUGGAACAUCCCUUUCCGCAAGGACUGCUGCGGAGGUGCUGCAUGGCUGUCGUCAGCUCGUGUCGUGAGAUGUUGGGUUAAGUCCCGCAACGAGCGCAACCCUUAUCGUUAGUUGCCAUCAGGUCAAGCUGGGCACUCUAGCGAAACCGCCUCGGAUAACGGGGAGGAAGGUGGGGAUGACGUCAAGUCCUCAUGGCCUUUAUGUCCAGGGCUACACACGUGCUACAAUGGUCGGUACAAACCGUCGCAAACCCGCGAGGGGGAGCUAAUCGGAAAAAGCCGGCCUCAGUUCGGAUUGGAGUCUGCAACUCGACUCCAUGAAGCUGGAAUCGCUAGUAAUCGCAGAUCAGAACGCUGCGGUGAAUACGUUCCCGGGCCUUGUACACACCGCCCGUCACAUCACGAAAGUGGGUGAUACUAGAAGCCGUCCCGCCAACCCGCAAGGGGGGCAGACGUCCAAGGUAUGACUCAUGAUUGGGGUGAAGUCGUAACAAGUAAAUCGAAUUCCCGCGGCC